UUCUGGUUAGCUCAUUUAAUAGAGAAUUUCACUGGAAAUGGAGAAGUUCCUGGUUCGAUACCAGGACCAGGCG
rnacentral:tRNA from 1 species